rnacentral:rRNA from 1 species
UACGUAGGGUGCAAGCGUUAAUCGGAAUUACUGGGCGUAAAGCGUGCGCAGGCGGUUAUGCAAGACAGAUGUGAAAUCCCCGGGCUCAACCUGGGAAUGGCGAUGAAGACUGCAAGGCUAGAAUCUGGCAGAGGGGGGUAGGAUUCCACGUGUAGCAGUGAAAUGCGUAGAGAUGUGGAGGAACACCAAUAGCGAAGGCAGCUCGCUGGGACGUUACUGACACUGAGGCGCGAAAGCGUGGGGAGCGAACGGG